AUUAAGAUGAUUAAAACAGCUAUUCAGAUAUAUUUAUGCAAGCAACAUAAUUUUCUCACCCAAUUAAUGUAACCAGGAGUGAUGUUUUUCAUGAUGUUAUUUUCUAUUUUGCUUAAGCUUGCUUAAAGCAGUCUUUUAUGUUUAAGAAAAGACUGAGUUAAUACGUAGAAUUCUCUCAUUUGAUAUGUAUGACAUGCUGCUUUUCCUUCUGGGUCAAGCAACUGGAGUCAGGGGAAGAAAGGACACCAUCGACAGAAAGUGUUACUGACACAGUAUUAUGUGCUGUGGGUACUGGAAAAAGGCACCCCAGGAAGCACUGAUAGUCCUGCAUUUCUCCAGACAUCCAAUGGGUUCAGAGAGAUUAACUGAUUCAACUAAUUCAACUGAGGUCAACACUACAAGUCCGCAGAAAAAUCCCUGGGCACUGCAGUAAAGACCUGUGCAGCUACUCCUCCCAAGACAGAGCUGAAAGCUGCAAACUGCAUAUCAAGUGUCCGGUGGGGUUUGGGAGGCAAUGAUGAACAUUCAUUUCAAGAAAUUUCUUUUGGAUUCAGGUAGUACUGAGUACAUGAAAAAGGGAUGAAGAUAUCUCACUGAAUUUCCUGCAUAUUGGAACAUCUGACCUGGUUUUAAUGUUUGAAUAUUGUGGGAUUUUACAUUUAUGAUACAUUUUUAGUAAAAUCUUUAUUUUGAAAGCAGCAGCAGCAUGUUUCUAAUUUCCUUAUUUUACUGCACUUUCUAGUGUUAGCUACAGUAGAAAAUUCAGAACCUCUGCACUGACAUUGGCACUAACUGUUCAGCAGUGCAG
rnacentral:lncRNA from 1 species